rnacentral:rRNA from 1 species
GAUGAACGCUGGCGGCGUGCCUAAUACAUGCAAGUCGAGCGAACGGACGAGAAGCUUGCUUCUCUGAUGUUAGCGGCGGACGGGUGAGUAACACGUGGAUAACCUACCUAUAAGACUGGGAUAACUUCGGGAAACCGGAGCUAAUACCGGAUAAUAUUUUGAACCGCAUGGUUCAAAAGUGAAAGACGGUCUUGCUGUCACUUAUAGAUGGAUCCGCGCUGCAUUAGCUAGUUGGUAAGGUAACGGCUUACCAAGGCAACGAUGCAUAGCCGACCUGAGAGGGUGAUCGUCCACACUGGAACUGAGACACGGUCCAGACUCCUACGGGAGGCAGCAGUAGGGAAUCUUCCGCAAUGGGCGAAAGCCUGACGGAGCAACGCCGCGUGAGUUAUGAAGGUCUUCGGAUCGUAAAACUCUGUUAUUAGGGAAGAACAUAUGUGUAAGUAACUGUGCACAUCUUGACGGUACCUAAUCAGAAAGCCACGGCUAACUACGUG